rnacentral:tRNA from 1 species
CGGGUAUAGCUUAAUGGCAAAGCUCCAGCCUUCCAAGCUGAUCAUGCGGGUUCGAUUCCCGCUACCC